UAAACUCUUUCUCCUCACACUGCUCUUCACGGCCACCUGCUUCAAUGCAGAGCUCAGCCACGACGCCGAAGCUUUCUCACCUCAUUACUCUCCGGCAACCUCUCCGGCGCCCCACCAUCACCACCACCCACCAGCUCUUGCACCUGUUCAACCCCCGACUCAUCACCACCACCACCAUCCUCACCCACCCACUAAACCACCGACCCACUCGCCAGCUAACCCCCCUGUUCAUCCCCCAGUAAAGCCUCCGGCACCCUCACCGGUGAAACCUCCGGUUCAUCCACCAGUAAAGCCUCCUGUGAAGCCUCCGGUGAAGCCGCCGAGCUAUCCUUUCCCAAGGCGGUUUGUAGCAGUGCAGGGUGUUGUUUACUGCAAGUCUUGCAAGUACGCCGGAGUUGAUACCCUCUUGGGAGCUUCACCGGUUUUGGGUUUGUCCUCCUAACCAUGUCUCUCUACUCUUACAUUUUUCUUUCUUUGCUUUUUAGUUUAAGCAAGGCGUUGGAAAUGGCUUCUUGAAUCAUGCAUGCAUGUCCAUGAAUUGUUGCAUUGUAUAUAUAUAUAUGUAUAUGAAUAUAUAAUCUGCAUGAUAUGUUUAGUCAAUGGCGUAAUGUAUACGUGGUUUUAUUAGCAAGAUAAUACAUUCUUACUCGUUAUAAAUUGUGUUUACAUAUAUGGUUUUAUUAGCUUUAAAACCUUUAUUCCAUUUCUAGGCAAAAGAACUGACAAUGUUUACCAGUAUGGCAGCACUGAAUUACUGUACCACCAACCGUAACAUUAAAGCUGCCGCUCACUGUUAUCUCCACUCCGUGACAAAAUUCCUUUUUCUUUUUUUUUUACUCUUCUUCUUUUUAACCAUUUUCACAAGUUACAUGCACUCUAUUUUACUUUAUUACUUUUUACUUUCAAUUAAUUAAUUCAUUUAAUGUAUUUUAAUUUCUUAGAUGGCCCAGUAAUACUUUUUUAUGUAAUUAAUAUACAUAUAUAUUGUGAAAACCUUCUAGAAUUUACCGCACAGUAAAAAGCUGAAGUGAAAAAAAAACUGUGUUGCAGGAGCGACCGUGAAGCUGCAGUGCAACAACACAAAGUACCCAAUGGAGGUUAAAGGGAAGACAGACAAGAACGGCUACUUCUUGGUGAAAGCGCCGGCGACCGUCACGAACUACGGCGCUCACCGGUGCAAGGCUUUUCUGGUGUCGGCGCCGACCACCGCCUGUAGCAAAGUUACUGAUUUACACGGCGGAGCCACCGGC
rnacentral:lncRNA from 1 species